rnacentral:ncRNA from 1 species
ACAGAUACGAUGACAGGGAAAAAGUCCUCCUGGAGCGCUUCAGAGAGCCGCCGGUCGCUGCGAGGCGGCGCGGAAGGGAAAAGGACGUCACUGGCCCUCGAGUAUUCCCGCUGAGCCGUUGGGGUUAGGCGGGAACGGGUUUCCCCACCGUUACCAAAGGGGCGGGAUUCGCGCGGCGGCGCCGUACCGAUUCCGGGAGCGGGCAGUUUUUGCCAAUGAGAGUGGUACCGCGGAAGUUUGGGCUUUCGUCUCUUCA